CCUACGGGGGACAGCAGUGAGGAAUAUUGGUCAAUGGACGAGAGUCUGAACCAGCCAAGUAGCGUGAAGGAUGACUGCCCUAUGGGUUGUAAACUUCUUUUAUAUGGGAAUAAAAUGUUCCACGUGUGGGAUUUUGUAUGUACCAUAUGAAUAAGGAUCGGCUAACUCCGUGCCAGCAGCCGCGGUAAUACGGAGGAUCCGAGCGUUAUCCGGAUUUAUUGGGUUUAAAGGGAGCGUAGGUGGAUUGUUAAGUCAGUUGUGAAAGUUUGCGGCUCAACCGUAAAAUUGCAGUUGAAACUGGCAGUCUUGAGUACAGUAGAGGUGGGCGGAGUUCGUGGUGUAGCGGUGAAAUGCUUAGAUAUCACGAAGAACUCCGAUUGCGAAGGCAGUUCACUGGACUGCAACUGACACUGAGGCUCGAAAGUGUGGGUAUCAAACAGGAUUAGAUACCCCUGUAGUC
rnacentral:rRNA from 1 species